CAUACACACAUUGCCAUCCUGUGGCAGGAUGCUGCCAGCACAAGUGCUUGCGAGAAGGCUGCAGGAGGAGGUCCGGCGAACUGAGCGCUGCUUUUUCACGACACAGACAAAAUAGGGCUUUAUAAUGGCUGUGGGCUCAAGCUAGAGGGUGCAAAUCCAACCGUGUUUUUGAAGCUUUGCAGCUCACGGGCCGUUAGAUAAGUGGUCCAGCCGACUGCUGAAAAAUACCAGUGUAAUACUGAGGUGCAGGUAAGGAAAAAAGAAACUUGAGGAGGAGGGGAAGAGAACAUCAGGCUUUGAAAUCUUCAGGGGAAACAGAAAUGGCCACUGACUUGAGCCCAACACAGGGCAUCAAGGAGCAACAAAUCGACCAGGGAAGUGUAAGCACAAAGGAGAAGCCUCGACAUGAUAGAUGACCCAAAGCCCUCUGGAAAACUUGACCCCCCUACCAGAAGGCAGUCGGAAGAAGGGCAUGACAUGACAAAGGUGAGUGAUAGGAGAGAGAAAGCAGAGGCUGGGUGGGAGCCUGAGGGCUGCUGGCACGUUUCAGAAAGUUGCCCUGGGUGUUACAUCCAGCCCUCCGUGGCCGCAGAGAGGGAUGUGCAAACCUAGCAAGGCUGUGUUUUGGCUGCCUAUCUCUUUUGGCCUCACAGAAGGGGCAAUAUUCCCUCUGCAACUGCUUAGGAAGGCAAAAGGAAAAUGUUGAUUAGCACUCAGAAAAGGAAGUGGCUUAUUUUGCCUGAUUAUAAUCAUGGGAACUUUGUUCCCUCUGCUCCAGUAACCACAUUGGUAGCAUUAACUGGAAAGCUAAGUAACUGGUAAAGAAACCACCAAAUCAAACGUAAUCUCAUACUGCUUGCACAAUUUUCCUUGAAUGGACAUACAAGGAACCUUCACUUUCUUCCUACAUUAGGCUCCCCACUUGCCCCCCAGAAGCCAUUUGUCAUCUUCUUAUUGGGUCACAAUCUGCCUCUUUUUCCCACGGGGGACUGUCAGAAGGUUGCACAGGUUUGCACAAGAGUGCUUGAGAGCUCAGGCUGGGCCGGUGAUGUCCAGUGGCUGUCAGCCCAAUGCCAUUAUGUAGACCGUUGCUGCUAUCCUGCAAGAAUGCAAAGAAAAUUUCUUUUCCCCUGUUGUCCUCGAAGCCAACACAAGAAGAAAAAGGCAGCAACUUGGCGGCUUUAAAAAACAAAGAAAUCUUAGCGAAAUUUUCAAGCUCCAUCUUGCAUAGCGGAGACUACUGAUGCUUAUUAGAAGACCAUGUGGGAAAGUGAUUUUGUUUGGAAGAUGCAAAUAGAAAAGAAUAAUUAAAAGGUAACAGAAGAUUGGUCUAUUUAGUGCUGAAACAGACACCCUUGGAUUAGGAGCACCAAAUAAAAUUAGUCUGAAAAAUA